GCUCACCAAGGCGACGAUCCCUAGCUGGUCUGAGAGGAUGAUCAGCCACACUGGAACUGAGACACGGUCCAGACUCCUACGGGAGGCAGCAGUGGGGAAUAUUGCACAAUGGGCGCAAGCCUGAUGCAGCCAUGCCGCGUGUAUGAAGAAGGCCUUCGGGUUGUAAAGUACUUUCAGCAGUGAGGAAGGUGGUAGUGUUAAUAGCACUAUCAUUUGACGUUAGCUGCAGAGAAGNACCGGCUAACUCCGUGCCARCAGCCGCGGUARUACKGAGGGUGCGAGCGUUAAUCRGAAUUACUGGGCGUAAAGCGCAUGCASGUGGUUUGUUAAGUCAGAUGUGAAAGCCCGGGGCUCAAYCUCGGGAAUUGCAUUUGAAACUGGCAGACUAGAGUACUGUAAGAGGGGGGUAGAAUUUCASSUGUAGCGGUGAAAUGCGUAGAGAUCUGAAGGAAUACCGGUGGCGAAGCCNNNUUGGCGGCCCCCUGGACAGAUACUGASWGUCAGAUGCGAAAGCGKGGGGANUGCAAACAGGAUUAGAUNNNNNNNACCCUSGUNAGKCYACSCCGUAAACGAUGUCUACYUGGAGGUUGUGGCCCAGGUGAGCCGUGGCUUUCGGAGCUAACGCGUUAAGUAGACCGCCUGGGGAGUACGGUCGCAAGAUUAAAACUCAAWUGAAUUGACGGGGGCCCGYACAAGCGGUGGAGNCAUGUKSUYUAAUUCGAUGCAACGCGAAGAACCNUUACCUACUCUUGACAUCCUMAGAAGAGA
rnacentral:rRNA from 1 species